UAGCUCAGUUGGUAGAGCAGUUGACUUUUAAUCAAUUGGUCGCAGGUUCGAAUCCUGCACGACCCACCAAUUUCAGUAUUUAACUCAGAUGCUGAACGUGAAGGAUAACGUUGCGACAGCAACGGCCCGAAGGGCGAGGCGAAGUCGAGUCAUCCUGCACGACCUACCA
rnacentral:sRNA from 1 species